AGUUGGUCCUCAAUUUGGUCCAGCGUCUGAGCCCCGCCCCUGGAGUGGAGUGCCACCUCUCCACUGCAAUGUUUCCCUAGAAACCCAUCGAUUUAUAGCAUCUGUAGCUGGCCUUUUGGAGACCCCAGACCAAACUGUGUUAGAAAACAACAGCAACAACAAAACUCCUAUUUCUCCAAAUGGCCCUGGAAGACGCACCGACUGUGCCCUCAAGACCCUGUGUGUGGGGCGUCCGCCUCCCUGGGCGCAUGGAGUUGGCUGGUGACCAGGGUGUAAGGGUGCAUACUGGGCAAGGACGGGCUGAGGCAGGCGGCAAGGUCCGCAUCAUCCUCACCCAUCUGUGGUCCCUGGUCACGAAGGAUAGACCCAUCCAUCCACCUUUCUGAAACUGUUGCCAAUGCACCCUGAAUUCGGGAAUGCUCUCCUCUCUCUUCUUUCUCCCCUUGCCAGACUCAGGGCAGAGAUGGUGGCUGACGUUUUUCCCCAAGGGUGAGGACAAGGAAUGACCAAAAGAUCAUCAUCCAGGGGCUUUGGGAAUGUGGGCCCUGCUGCGUUUCCUCCAGCAGAAGGGUUUCUUUCCUUCAGUUUCCAUCAGUUUUCAGGGAGGACAAAGGUCCCUUUUGCUACCUGAUCUCUGUCUCACGCUCUGCAAACCCAUCCUGCAGGCUGCAGGCACGACCCCACUUGGGAGUCCAUCCCCCUUUCUCUCACUCCUUCUCCAUGACUUCCCACAACUCUUGGCUGGGUGUGUGCUCCAGGGAACUUUCUAGGGUGGUGGCACUAUGCCACAAUUUGGGGGUUUUAGGGUGGUAGUUACGUGGGUGUCUACAAUUGUUAAAAUUUACUAAACUAAGA